UACGUAGGUGGCAAGCGUUGUCCGGAUUUACUGGGCGUAAAGAGCGCGCAGGCGGCGGUGCUGGCCCGGCGUGAAAGCCCCCGGCUCAACCGGGGAGAGUCGUCGGGGACCGCACCGCUUGAGGGCGGUAGGGGCUGGUGGAAUGCCUGGUGUAGUGGUGAAAUGCGUAGAGAUCAGGCAGAACACCUGGGGCGAAGGCGGCCAGCUGGGCCGUCCCUGACGCUGAGGCGCGAAGGCGUGGGGAGCGAACGGG
rnacentral:rRNA from 1 species